rnacentral:rRNA from 1 species
AGACAUGACAGUCGAACGAUGAACUGGAGCUUGCUCCAGGGAUUAGUGGCGAACGGGUGAGUAACACGUGAGUAACCUGCCCUUGACUCUGGGAUAAGCGCUAGAAAUGGCGUCUAAUACCGGAUACGAGCUUCAGCCGCAUGGCUAGGAGUUGGAAAGAAUUUUGGUCAAGGAUGGACUCGCGGCCUAUCAGCUAGUUGGUGAGAUAAUGGCUCACCAAGGCGACGACGGGUAGCCGGCCUGAGAGGGUGACCGGCCACACUGGGACUGAGACACGGCCCAGACUCCUACGGGAGGCAGCAGUGGGGAAUAUUGCACAAUGGGCGAAAGCCUGAUGCAGCAACGCCGCGUGAGGGAUGACGGCCUUCGGGUUGUAAACCUCUUUUAGUAGGGAAGAAGCGAAAGUGACGGUACCUGCAGAAAAAGCACCGGCUAACUACGUGCCAGCAGCCGCGGUAAUACGUAGGGUGCAAGCGUUGUCCGGAAUUAUUGGGCGUAAAGAGCUCGUAGGCGGUUUGUCGCGUCUGCUGUGAAAUCUGGGGGCUCAACCCCCAGCCUGCAGUGGGUACGGGCAGACUAGAGUGCGGUAGGGGAGAUUGGAAUUCCUGGUGUAGCGGUGGAAUGCGCAGAUAUCAGGAGGAACACCGAUGGCGAAGGCAGAUCUCUGGGCCGUAACUGACGCUGAGGAGCGAAAGCAUGGGGAGCGAACAGGAUUAGAUACCCUGGUAGUCCAUGCCGUAAACGUUGGGAACUAGAUGUGGGGGCCAUUCCACGGUCUCCGUGUCGCAGCUAACGCAUUAAGUUCCCCGCCUGGGGAGUACGGCCGCAAGGCUAAAACUCAAAGGAAUUGACGGGGGCCCGCACAAGCGGCGGAGCAUGCGGAUUAAUUUCGAUGCAACGCGAAGAACCUUACCAAGGCUUGACAUAUACCGGAAACGUCCAGAGAUGGUCGCCCCGCAAGGUCGGUAUACAGGUGGUGCAUGGUUGUCGUCAGCUCGUGUCGUGAGAUGUUGGGUUAAGUCCCGCAACGAGCGCAACCCUCGUUCUAUGUUGCCAGCACGUUAUGGUGGGAACUCAUAGGAGACUGCCGGGGUCAACUCGGAGGAAGGUGGGGAUGACGUCAAAUCAUCAUGCCCCUUAUGUCUUGGGCUUCACGCAUGCUACAAUGGCCGGUACAAAGGGCUGCGAUACCGUAAGGUGGAGCGAAUCCCAAAAAGCCGGUCUCAGUUCGGAUUGAGGUCUGCAACUCGACCUCAUGAAGUCGGAGUCGCUAGUAAUCGCAGAUCAGCAACGCUGCGGUGAAUACGUUCCCGGGCCUUGUACACACCGCCCGUCAAGUCAUGAAAGUCGGUAACACCCGAAGCCAGUGGCCUAACCCUUGUGGAUGGA